UACGAAGGGUGCAAACGUUGCUCGGAAUUAUUGGGCGUAAAGCGCGUGUAGGCGGCCCUGCAAGUCGGAUGUGAAAUCCCACGGCUCAACCGUGGAAGUGCAUUCGAAACUGCAGGGCUAGAGUCCUGGAGAGGAAGGUGGAAUGCUUGGUGUAGAGGUGAAAUUCGUAGAUAUCAAGCGGAACACCGGUGGCGAAGGCGGCCUUCUGGACAGUGACUGACGCUGAGACGCGAAAGCGUGGGGAGCAAACAGG
rnacentral:rRNA from 1 species